CAGUUGUCAUGCUGCAGAGAGAAGUACGCCUCACUCAGUGCAGAGUACGAGCAGUACCGGAGCGAGGCGGGCGCGGUGCAGGCGGAGCUGCAGGGGCUCAGGGACGAACUGGAGCUCACUGGUGAUUUGACCAGCAAACAGACGGAAGAGGUGACUCGCCUAAUGGACGCGUGUGCCUCACAGGAGCUCACUAUACAGCGACUCACCCGACAACUCACGCAGAACAAGAUUGAGUGCACGUGCGGCCUGAAGAAGGAGAAUGUUUCACUGAAGCAGGAUAAUCACAAGUUAGAGAGUGAGUUGUCGGAGUUGCGAGGCGAGCUGGAGGCGCUGCGGAGCUCUCAUGCGG